rnacentral:lncRNA from 1 species
UCCCCCCCUUCCCCCUCUCACCCUCAUGGCUCAUGGGCGGUGAGCACCAUGUGGUCAUCAGUCCGUGUGGUCAACAACGACUUGUGUGCUGUUGUGGAAAACCAACUCAACUCGAGGUGAAGAAAUCGCAGGGGCCAUUCUUGAGGCUUUUUUGAGGUGGUGGCGAAUCGGAUUGGCAAGUUUUUUUUGUUGGUUUUUCGUGUGGUUUUUAAGCAUUUUUUAGAGGUGAUUUCUCAGGCUAGUUUUGCUCAUUGAUUUGAGUUAGCUAGUCAUAUUGAAGGACUUUGCGUGCUUUUUCCUACGCUUGAUUGCUUGUUUUUAGGGGCAAUGGGAAUAUGUAGGAAUUUUCUGGCUAUGGGAGUAGUUUGUUGUUAUUUUUUAUUAGAUUUUUCCUAGAAUUGAAAUUAUUUCUAUUGAUUUUCCUUGAAUUAUCUCUUGGUACAUUGUGUUUUACGCGUAGUUGGUUAGUUGCUUAUGCAGGUAGAGAAAAGAGAAGGGUUUAUUAAAGUGUAGCUUUCUAACUAUAUAUCUUGUACUGUAGACUGUAGCAGUCCUCUUGCUAAUUACGCGUGCGCAAGAGAGGGACGGGCGCCGGCGCUGCGCAGGAAAUUUUACAUAACGCCCAAAAAUGGAUGAGUGGCUGCCGACGCCAUAUAUCACACACAAGUUGUAUUUUUCUAAGCUUUUAUUAUAUCAAAAUAGUAAAGUUUUUGAACAUAUAUGAUCACGUAAAAGAGCAAUCGUCCAUCAGUGCUUCCAGUUUUUCUUCCAGACGUUUCUUUUUUUUUUGUUGGCUUCAAAACAAAUUAAGCCGGAAGAAACCUUUUUAGUUUAUUUUAAGAAACAAAAUCUCUUCAG